ACCUGGGUGGCUCAGUCGGUUGAGUGUCUGACUUUGGCUCAGGUCACGAUCUCACGGUUCGUGAGUUCGAGCCCCACAUCGGGCU
rnacentral:tRNA from 1 species